GCAUCGCUGGAGAGACCCAGUUUCAGUGCUGAUGCAUCAGAUCCAUUACAUGCAGUUACAAAUGCAAUGAGAACACUGGGAAUUGGAAAUGCUAGAAAUUUUCCAUGCAUAGGUACGGCUAGCCUUCCAUGCAGCGCUUUAAAAACAGGAUCAGGAUCCAGUGAUGUUCAUACACCAAGGAACAUGUCAUGCCCAGUUUCUCCCCAGUGGCAGUCCUCUACUACAUGCAAGGUCUCCGCAAAAUUUUAGCGGAAGGAUGUCUCCCUCUCCUAUAUCUAGCCCUCAUGCCCUCUCUAGUUCAUCCAAUCCUCUUACUGGUGGCAAUGGUGCCAUUCCAUUUCAUCACCAAAAACAGCCAAUGAUCUACUUGCAUGAAGGUAUUGGAAUAAUCCCAAGGUCCCAAAAUAAUUUCUAUGCAAAUUCUAGCAACCCUUAUCAAGAACACAAACCUGACAUGUUUCGAGGGAUUUCACAAGCUUCUAAUGCUUCUCAAGAAAUGAUUUCAUCAGAUACUGGUGCUUUUGGAAAACAGUAUGGAUGGCCUGCGCAUGGGGAUCAUAGGGAACUCUAUGAUGCACAUCCAGUCUUGGCUGAUCAUGUGUCUCAGCAACUCUUGAGGGACCAUGUGAAGUUGGAACCAUCACAGGACCUUAUAAUCCAGAUUCAUCAAUGCUAGGUCGUAAUGGAGGAAUCUAGUUUGCUCCAGAAAUCUCUCAAGGGAGGGCCUCCAGGCAUUGUAGAUGCUUUUCAGUGCUAGGUGGUGGUUUCUUUCCUAAAAGUUUGGAUUACAGUUUCAAAUUUCCUCGGAGAUAAUACAU